UACGUAGGUGGCGAGCGUUGUCCGGAUUUACUGGGCGUAAAGAGCUCGUAGGCGGUUUGUCACGUCUGCUGUGAAAUCCCGAGGCUCAACCUCGGGCCUGCAGUGGGUACGGGCAGACUGGAGUGCGGUAGGGGAGAAUGGAAUUCCUGGUGUAGCGGUGGAAUGCGCAGAUAUCAGGAGGAACACCGAUGGCGAAGGCAGGUCUCUGGGCCACUACUGACGCUGAGAAGCGAAAGCGUGGGGAGCGAACAGG
rnacentral:rRNA from 1 species